GGAGGAAACAACAUUCACCCCAAAGACUCAGAUGAAGAGGCUUGAAGGAUGGGAUCAUUCUGGAGGAGAAAAGCGGGGCAGCAUCAAACCCCUCCCACUGGGGCAACCUGCUGAGCAUCUCCCUGGCCUUGGCCCCUGGCCAUACCACACAAGUGUCCAAUGAGUCACUGAUCCUGAAGAACAAGAGAAGACUGACCACAGACCCCAAAAGGAAGCAGGAGUACAACCUUCGAAGUUGGUGGGCAACAAGAGGUCAGAGGUUGACAAGCAUCCACACAGCUCUAAGACUAGCAUCAUGUGGCUACCCAGGACCUGGGAGAGUGCUGCAGAGCAGGAGCAGGAAAGGGACCGGCUGUUCCCAUAGAACUUCAUGUCACAGGUCUGGGAGCCAGGGGGCCUUGGUUCUAGUCCCAACUCUCCCUCUAAGUUGUCUUAUGGCCACAGGUGAGUGAAAUAGCUUCUCUGGCCUCAGCUUCCUCACGAUUAAAAU
rnacentral:lncRNA from 10 species